UGCCUAAUACAUGCAAGUCGAGCGAGCAGAACCAGCAGAUUUACUUCGGUAAUGACGCUGGGGACGCGAGCGGCGGAUGGGUGAGUAACACGUGGGGAACCUGCCCCAUAGUCUGGGAUACCACUUGGAAACAGGUGCUAAUACCGGAUAAGAAAGCAGAUCGCAUGAUCAGCUUAUAAAAGGCGGCGUAAGCUGUCGCUAUGGGAUGGCCCCGCGGUGCAUUAGCUAGUUGGUAAGGUAACGGCUUACCAAGGCAAUGAUGCAUAGCCGAGUUGAGAGACUGAUCGGCCACAUUGGGACUGAGACACGGCCCAAACUCCUACGGGAGGCAGCAGUAGGGAAUCUUCCACAAUGGACGCAAGUCUGAUGGAGCAACGCCGCGUGAGUGAAGAAGGUUUUCGGAUCGUAAAGCUCUGUUGUUGGUGAAGAAGGAUAGAGGCAGUAACUGGCCUUUAUUUGACGGUAAUCAACCAGAAAGUCACGGCUAACUACGUGCCAGCAGCCGCGGUAAUACGUAGGUGGCAAGCGUUGUCCGGAUUUAUUGGGCGUAAAGCGAGCGCAGGCGGAAGAAUAAGUCUGAUGUGAAAGCCCUCGGCUUAACCGAGGAACUGCAUCGGAAACUGUUUUUCUUGAGUGCAGAAGAGGAGAGUGGAACUCCAUGUGUAGCGGUGGAAUGCGUAGAUAUAUGGAAGAACACCAGUGGCGAAGGCGACUCUCUGGUCUGCAACUGACGCUGAGGCUCGAAAGCAUGGGUAGCGAACAGGAUUAUAUACCCUGGUAGUCCAUGCCGUAAACGAUGAGUGCUAAGUGUUGGGAGGUUUCCGCCUCUCAGUGCUGCAGCUAACGCAUUAAGCACUCCGCCUGGGGAGUACGAUCGCAAGGUUGAAUUUCAAGGAUUGACGGGGGCCGCACAAGCGGUGGAGCAUGUGGGUUUAUUCUAAGCACGCGAAAAGCUUACAGGUCUG
rnacentral:rRNA from 1 species